rnacentral:rRNA from 1 species
GGAAUCUACCUAGUAGUACGGAAUAAUUGUUGGAAACGGCAACUAAUACCGUAUACGCCCUACGGGGGAAAGAUUUAUUGCUAUUAGAUGAGCCUAUAUUAGAUUAGCUAGUUGGUAAGGUAAUGGCUUACCAAAGCAAUGAUCUAUAGCUGAUCUGAGAGGAUGAUCAGCCACACUGGAACUGAGAUACGGUCCAGACUCCUACGGGAGGCAGCAGUGGGGAAUAUUGGACAAUGGGCGAAAGCCUGAUCCAGCCAUGCCGCAUGAGUGAAGAAGGCCUUUGGGUUGUAAAGCUCUUUCGGUGAGGAAGAUAGUGACGGUACUCACAGAAGAAGUCCUGGCUAACUCCGUGCCAGCAGCCGCGGUAAUACGGAGAGGGCUAGCGUUAUUCGGAAUUAUUGGGCGUAAAGAGCGCGUAGGCUAGUUAGUAAGUUAAAAGUGAAAUCCCAAAGCUCAACUUUGGAAUUGCUUUUAAAACUGCUAACCUAGAGAUUGAAAGAGGAUAGAGGAAUUCCUAGUGUAGAGGUGAAAUUCGUAAAUAUUAGGGAGGAACACCAGUGGCGAAGGCGUCUAUCUGGUUCAAAUCUGACGCUGAGGGCGCGAAGGCGUGGGGAGCAAACAGGAUUAGAUACCCUGGUAGUCCACGCUGUAAACGAUGAAUGUUAAAUAUGGGAAGUUUACUUUCUGUAUUACAGCUAACGCGUUAAACAUUCCGCCUGGGGACUACGGUCGCAAGAUUAAAACUCAAAGGAAUUGACGGGGACCCGCACAAGCGGUGGAGCAUGUGGUUUAAUUCGAUGCAACGCGA